AGUGUAAUUUCUGGAUCAUAUGGUAAUUCUGUUUUUAGUUUUUUGAGGAACUUCCAUACUGUUUUCCAUAGUAGCUCCACCAUUUUACAUUUAUACCAAUAAU
rnacentral:pre_miRNA from 1 species